rnacentral:rRNA from 1 species
UACGUAGGUGGCAAGCGUUAUCCGGAAUUAUUGGGCGUAAAGGGAGCGUAGGCGGAUAUUUAAGUGGGAUGUGAAAUACUUGGGCUCAACCCGAGUGCUGCAUUCCAAACUGGAUAUCUAGAGUGCAGGAGAGGAGAGUGGAAUUCCUAGUGUAGCGGUGAAAUGCGUAGAGAUUAGGAAGAACACCAGUGGCGAAGGCGACUCUCUGGACUGUAACUGACGCUGAGGCUCGAAAGCGUGGGGAGCGAACAGG